rnacentral:rRNA from 1 species
GUUGACCUCGGAUCAGGUAGGGAUACCCGCUGAACUUAAGCGUAUCAAUUAUCGGAGGGA